rnacentral:lncRNA from 1 species
UGAUAUUCAAGUGAUAUUUUAUCAUGGAAGCUUAAAAUCCUUAUACUAUAAAUGUCAAAUGGGAGAGAUAAAACGCGCAGAACUAACGGUGCGUUGGACUAGUGGUUUAGUGUCUGGAGUUGGUUGCAUUGCAUUCCUAAUUCGAUUUUCUGUUGGGAGGAAUGUUUUACGCUAUUUUAUCGAUAUUUGGGUCUUCGGCUCGGACAUCUUUUGGCUUACAAAAAACAGAUAAAACACGCAGAAAAAACUGAUAUUUGUAAGAAAGAAAUCAUAAAAACAUGAAACAAUAUGUGAACAUGGAUGAAAGUUUAUACUGGUUGGAUUUAAUUUGUUAAUUUUAAUUUUUUUUUUGUAAAUGAUAAUUAGUUUUUUUUUUGUAUCUUGGUAUUAAUAUUUUAAUUGUAUUUUUGUUAUCUAAAUCUUAAUAUAUAUCAAAAAUCUUUUUCUGGAAAAUAAUUAAUCAGUGAAAAUUUAUUAUUUAACUAAAAUAGGAUUAUUAAAAAUAAUUUUGUCAUUAUAUCAAAACAUUACAGUUACG